GACGUAGGGGGCCAGCGUUGCUCGGAAUUACUGGGCGUAAAGGGUUCGUAGGCGGUGUGGCAAGUCGGGUGUGAAAUCUCUGGGCUUAACUCAGAGGCUGCUUCCGAAACUGCCGUGCUAGAGUGCGGGAGAGGCGAGUGGAAUUCCUGGUGUAGCGGUGAAAUGCGCAGAUAUCAGGAGGAACACCGGUGGCGAAGGCGGCUCACUGGUCCGGUACUGACGCUGAGGUGCGAAAGCGUGGGGAGCAAACAGG
rnacentral:rRNA from 1 species